UGCGUACUUAAUCGCGGUGCGAAGUACGCGUAACGGGCCACGACGCAUCCGUGCUCCAGAAAAGAAAAAAGAGCAUUAAAGAAAGUUUGUAGUGUUCCGCUUUAUAACUUCCUUCUCCAUUUCCUCGUUAUUGCCUUAAAGACACUGAAACACCAUUCAUGAUGUUAGAACUGAGAAAGUUCUUGCAGAUCAACUCCGUUACAUAUGAGAAAAGCGCUCAUAAGUUAAAAUUACAUCCUGUGGCCUUUAUCUAGAACAAUGAUUCCUGAUAUUGUGAAGAUAUUCCACAGUCCCCAAGCAAGAAUAGUACAGUAUCAUUAAGGACUCACAUUUUCUAUCCCCAGAAUAGAAGAUGCUGCUGGGGUAUUGUGAGAGACUGUGGGAAGCUUCAGCAUGUGAGGACGGAAGAGCUCAGUGGGUACAAGAAGAGACAACACAGCUAAGAAGUGGGAGCCAUGGAAAGGAAAAAUUUCAAAGAGACUGCCUUGACUGGCUUGCCAUAUGUUUGCCUGGUAACUGUUACAGUUUUCAAA